rnacentral:rRNA from 1 species
UCGAGAAUUUUUGGCAAUGGGCGAAAGCCUGACCAAGCGAUGCCGCGUGCGGGAUGAAGGCCUUCGGGUUGUAAACCGCUGUCAGUGGGGAGGAAAGCUUUGUGAAGAGCAAGGCUUGACCUAUCCGCAGAGGAAGUGUGGGCUAAGUUCGUGCCAGCAGCCGCGGUAAGACGAACCACACAAACGUUAUUCGGAAUUACUGGGCUUAAAGGGUGCGUAGGCUGCGCAGUAAGUUGGGUGUGAAAUACCU